GUUGCCCAGCAUUCAGUUGGGCACUCUAAUGAGACUGCCGGUGACAAACCGGAGGAAGGUGGGGAUGACGUCAAAUCAGCAUGCCCCUUAUGACUUGGGCUACACACGUGCUACAAUGGAUGGUACAACGAGUCGCAAACCCGCGAGGGCAAGCAAAUCUCUUAAAGCCAUUCUCAGUUCGGAUUGCAGGCUGCAACUCGCCUGCAUGAAGCCGGAAUCGCUAGUAAUCGUGGAUCAGCACGCCACGGUGAAUACGUUCCCGGGUCUUGUACACACCGCCCGUCACACCACGAGAGUUUGUAACACCCGAAGUCGGUGAGGUAACC
rnacentral:rRNA from 1 species